CUUGCUCCCUGAUGUUAGCGGCGGACGGGUGAGUAACACGUGGGUAACCUGCCUGUAAGACUGGGAUAACUCCGGGAAACCGGGGCUAAUACCGGAUGGUUGUUUGAACCGCAUGGUUCAAACAUAAAAGGUGGCUUCGGCUACCACUUACAGAUGGACCCGCGGCGCAUUAGCUAGUUGGUGAGGUAACGGCUCACCAAGGCAACGAUGCGUAGCCGACCUGAGAGGGUGAUCGGCCACACUGGGACUGAGACACGGCCCAGACUCCUACGGGAGGCAGCAGUAGGGAAUCUUCCGCAAUGGACGAAAGUCUGACGGAGCAACGCCGCGUGAGUGAUGAAGGUUUUCGGAUCGUAAAGCUCUGUUGUUAGGGAAGAACAAGUACCGUUCGAAUAGGGCGGUACCUUGACGGUACCUAACCAGAAAGCCACGGCUAACUACGUGCCAGCAGCCGCGGUAAUACGUAGGUGGCAAGCGUUGUCCGGAAUUAUUGGGCGUAAAGGGCUCGCAGGCGGUUUCUUAAGUCUGAUGUGAAAGCCCCCGGCUCAACCGGGGAGGGUCAUUGGAAACUGGGGAACUUGAGUGCAGAAGAGGAGAGUGGAAUUCCACGUGUAGCGGUGAAAUGCGUAGAGAUGUGGAGGAACACCAGUGGCGAAGGCGACUCUCUGGUCUGUAACUGACGCUGAGGAGCGAAAGCGUGGGGAGCGAACAGGAUUAGAUACCCUGGUAGUCCACGCCGUAAACGAUGAGUGCUAAGUGUUAGGGGGUUUCCGCCCCUUAGUGCUGCAGCUAACGCAUUAAGCACUCCGCCU
rnacentral:rRNA from 1 species